AUCAUCUGGGGUUGAGGGAAGACUGGUCUAGGUGCUGCUCCUGAACUUGGUCUCUGAGCCAUGGCUUCCCAUAGGCACUCAGGGAUCCCUUGCAGGGGAAGAAGUAUGUGCAAAAGGAUGGCCACCACUGCUGCCUGAAAUGCUUUGACAAGUUCUGUGCCAACACCUGUGUGGAAUGCCGCAAGCCCAUCGGUGCGGACUCCAAGGAGGUGCACUAUAAGAACCGCUUCUGGCACGACACCUGCUUCCGCUGUGCCAAGUGCCUUCACCCCUUGGCCAAUGAGACCUUUGUGGCCAAGGACAACAAGAUCCUGUGCAACAAGUGCACCACUCGGGAGGACUCCCCCAAGUGCAAGGGGUGCUUCAAGGCCAUUGUGGCAGGAGAUCAAAACGUGGAGUACAAGGGGACCGUCUGGCACAAAGACUGCUUCACCUGUAGUAACUGCAAGCAAGUCAUCGGGACUGGAAGCUUCUUCCCUAAAGGGGAGGACUUCUACUGCGUGACUUGCCAUGAGACCAAGUUUGCCAAGCAUUGCGUGAAGUGCAACAAGGCCAUCACAUCUGGAGGAAUCACUUACC
rnacentral:sRNA from 1 species